rnacentral:rRNA from 1 species
AGAGUUUGAUCAUGGCUCAGGAUGAACGCUAGCGGCAGGCCUAACACAUGCAAGUCGCGGGGCAGCACGGGUAGCAAUACCUGGUGGCGACCGGCGCACGGGUGCGUAACGCGUAUGCAACCUGCCCCCAUCAGGGGAAUAGCCCGCCGAAAGGCGGAUUAAUGUCCCAUAGGCCCAGGGCGCCGCAUGGCGCUAUGGGUAAAGCUCCGGCGGAUGGGGAUGGGCAUGCGCGCCAUUAGCUAGUUAGGGCGGUAACGGCGCACCAAGGCGACGAUGGCUAGGGGGUCUGAGAGGAUGGUCCCCCACACUGGUACUGAGACACGGACCAGACUCCUACGGGAGGCAGCAGUGAGGAAUAUUGGUCAAUGGGCGGAAGCCUGAACCAGCCAUGCCGCGUGCAGGAUGACGGCCCUACGGGUUGUAAACUGCUUUUCCCCGGGAAGAAUAAGCCCCUCGUGAGGGGUGAUGCCGGUACCGGGGGAAUAAGGAUCGGCUAACUCCGUGCCAGCAGCGGC